AAUGGUGAUGAGAUUGAGGUUCGAUGUAACACAGACUUCACUGUCAAUGGCAGAGAGGCAGUGACCGCUACUUGUAGGAAUGGAGCCUGGAUGCCUGCACUACCACGUUGCGAGGUUACAUACAAGCGCUCUUGUUCUCGUCCUGUGGCAGUCCCAGAUGUCAGACAGUAUGUUGACGAUUCAAUCAAGCUACUUGACACCCCUCACCCUUCGUUCUUCCAUGAAUCCACCAUUAUGUCACGGUGUAAGGAUCCAUUAACAAUGACACUGGUAACUGGUCCGCUUCGCACCUGUAAUGACGGCAGAUGGACUGGACCUGUGCCAGUAUGCGUGCGAGCAUCAACUAGCUUCAGCCUCCCAGCCUUACGUACCACGCUCCAUCAGUUCAUGGCUAAUGGAACCUUGCUCAUCUACCCUGGUGUUGGUCAGUUGAAUGUGGAUUGCAUCGUCUCCAGCGGUUACCCAGUUUUAGAACACAGUCACUCACAACAAUGGACUCCAGGUGGUCAAGGAAAAAAGAAGUAUGGUGUGCCUGCAGAAGGCCAUUCAGGGACUUAUACCUGUAAGAAGUUUGGGUGGCCAACUGCAUUUCAUCGGCUUAUGAUACAGGUAAGAGCCGUUUCCUGUUCAGAGCCAAGUCCCCCGUUAAACGGUCGUCGUAUCGGCGAUGACUUCCGCCUAACAGAGUCAGUAUCAUUUGAAUGCAACGAGGGCUAUGAUCUCAUCGGGGAACGGACGAUCAAAUGCAACCUUGGUGAAUGGUUGGGAGAAAUACCGCGCUGCAGAGCUCGGGACUGUCCAGAGAUCAACAUGGCAAACCUAGACUCCAACCUACGACUCACGAUAAAUGGAGGCAACUCACCAGGCUCAGUAGUGAUGUUUACUUGCCAAUCCGGAUUCCAUCGGGUAGGAGAAACACGCCUCACUUGCCAGGGUGGCAGCUGGUCUCCUCCCUUCCCUACUUGUGAAGCCGAUGUUCCUGAUGACACAGGCCCGCUAUUUGGGCCGGAUGACUGCAACUGUGAGGUUUGGGAGAGAUGUGUGGCCAACAGCAAUGGCCCAUCAACAUGCCACUGUAUCCACCCGCGGCAGUGUGAUGACGUAGGCCAGGAGCAAUACUGUGGGAGUGACGGUCGAACGUACCCCAGCAUCUGCAGAAUGAAGGCUGCAGGCUGUCUGCUGGACUUGGACAUACAGGUCGUCAGCAAUGGACCUUGCCCAGAAAUAACCGAACCACCUGUGGCAGCUGCAACAUGUCCCACACCAUCAGUCCCCAAUGCCCUCAUCUACCACCGUGGCCAAAACAUUGCCACAGCAGGCUUUGAAAUCAUCUUUGGUAAUCGUGAUGAGAUUGAGGUUCGAUGUAAUACAGACUUCACAGUCAAUGGCAGGGAGGCAGUGACUGCUACUUGUUGGAAUGGAGCCUGGACGCCUGCACUACCACGUUGCGAGGUUACAUACAAGCGCUCUUGUUCUCGUCCUGUGGCAGUCCCAGAUGUCAGACAGUAUGUUGACGAUUCAAUCAAGCUACUUGACACCCCUCACCCUUCGUUCUUCCAUGAAUCCACCAUUAUGUCACGGUGUAAGGAUCCAUUAACAAUGACACUGGUAACUGGUCCGCUUCGCACCUGUAAUGACGGCAGAUGGACUGGACCUGUGCCAGUAUGCGAGCGGGCAUUAACAAGCUUCAGCCUCCCAGCCUUAGAUACCACGCUCCAUCAGUUCAUGGCUAAUGGAACCUUGCUCAUCUACCCUGGUGUUGGUCAGUUGAAUGUGGAUUGCAUUGUCUCCAGCGGUUACCCAGUUUUAGAACACAGUCACUCACAACAAUGGACUCCAGGUGGUCAAGGAAAAAAGAAGUAUGGUGUGCCUGCAGAAGGCCAUUCAGGGACUUAUACCUGUAAGAAGUUUGGGUGGCCAACUGCAUUUCAUCGGCUUAUGAUACAGGUAAGAGCUGUUUCCUGUCCAGAGCCAAGGCCCCCGUUAAACGGUCGUCGUAUCGGUGAUGACUUCCGCCUCACAAAGUCAGUGUUAUUUGAAUGCAACGAGGGCUUUGAUCUCAUCGGGGAACGGACGAUCAAAUGCAACCUUGGUGAAUGGUUGGGAGAAAUACCACGCUGCAGAGCUCGGGACUGUCCUGAGAUCAACAUGGCACACCUAGACCCCAACCUACAUCUCACGAUAAAUGGAGGCAACUCACCAGGCUCAGUCGUGAUAUUUACUUGCCAAUCCGGAUUCCAUCGGGUAGGAGAAACACGCCUCGCUUGCCAGGGUGGCAGCUGGUCUCCUUCCUUCCCUACUUGUGAAGCCGAUGUUCCCGAUGACACAGGCCCGCUAUUGGGGCCGGAUGACUGUAACUGUGAGGUUUGGGAGAGAUGUGUGGCCAACAGCAAUGGCCCAUCAACAUGCCACUGCAUCCACCCGCGGCAGUGUCAUGACGUAGACCAGGAGCAAUACUGUGGGAGUGACGGUCGGACGUACGCCAGCAUCUGCAGAAUGAAGGCUGCAGGCUGUCUGCUGGACUUGGACAUACAGGUCGUCAGCAAUGGACCUUGCCGAGAAAAUGAUUGUAACUGUGAGGUUUGGGAGAGAUGUGUGGCCAACAGAAAUGGCCCAUCAACAUGCCACUGCAUCCACCCGCAGCAGUGUGAUGACGUAGGCCAGGAGCAAUACUGUGGGAGUGACGGUCGGACGUACCCCAGCAUCUGCAGAAUGAAGGCUGCAGGCUGUCUGAUGGACUUGGACAUACAGGUCGUCAGCAGUGGACCUUGCCCAGAAAGUCCAAGUUUGCAAUUGCCCACUGAAGAUUCCUUGUUGUCCGACUAUUCUUCCGAGAGUUCAGAGUCACCUGUUGAUCCUACAGGCUCACCAAGCAUGGAAACUACAGAAAGUCGGAACAGCGAGAAUGGAACAACGGAGAGUGAAACAAAUCACGCCGAUGUUCCUGGUGGCACAGGCCCGCUAUUGGGGCCAAAUGACUGCAACUGUGAGGUUUGGGAGAGAUGUGUGGCCAACAGCAAUGGCCCAUCAACAUGCCACUGCAUCCACCCGCGGCAGUGUGAUGGCGCUGUGGGCCAGGAGCAAUACUGUGGGAGUGACGGUCGAACGUAUCCCAGCAUCUGCAGAAUGAAGGCUGCAGGCUGUCUGCUGGACUUGGACAUACAGGUCGUCAGCAAUGGAACUUGCCCAGAAAAUGACUACGCGGCCUGCGGGUACAGUGAAUAUGCAGAACAGAGGAUAUUUGGAAGAAUAUCCGGCGGCACUGAUGCUGCAGAGGGCCAGUGGCCCUGGCAGGUGGCGCUCUUCUGUCAUCGGAACUGCACAAGAUGUGAGGUUUUUCUGUGGCGGUAGUCUCAUAGCUCGUAACUGGGUUCUGUCAGCUGCACACUGCUUCAGAGACAACCACUGCCCAUGGUCUGCCAUCAGAGUAUAUACAGGAAUUCGUAAUAAAUCCAGGUCAGCUCUUCGACUGUUGGACCCAGCCCUUGUGUAUACCCUUGAUGGGGACGACGCCCUAAUAAAGCACGAGGCGUUUAAUUCGGACCUUGAUAAUGAUAUU
rnacentral:misc_RNA from 1 species